rnacentral:rRNA from 1 species
UCUGACCCAGCAAUGCCGCGUGAGCGAUGAAGGUGCAUCGAUUGUAAGCUCUUUUCCUGGGAACGAAACAAAAGACGGUACCCAGGGAAUAAGCCCCGGCUAACUACGUGCCAGCAGCCGCGGUAAUACGUAGGGGGCGAGCGUUGUCCGGAAUGACUGGGCGUAAAGGGUGCGUAGGUGGUUUAAUAAGUUAGAAGUGUAAUACCCAGGGCUUAACUCGGGUGCUGCUUCUAAAACUGUUAGGCUUGAGUGUAGUAGAGGAAAGCGGAAUUCAAUGUGUAGCGGUGGAAUGCGUAGAUAUAUUGAAGAACAUCAGUGGCGAAGGCGGCUUUCUGGACUAUAACUGACACUGAGGCACGAAAGCGUGGGGAGCAAACAGGAUUAGAUACCCUGGUAGUCCACGCCGUAAACGAUGGAUACUAGAUGCAGGAGGUAUUCACUCCUUCUGUGUCGCAGCUAACGCAAUAAGUAUCCCGCCUGGGGAGUACGAUCGCAAGAUUAAAACUCAAAGGAAUUGACGGGGAACCGCACAAGCAGCGGAACAUGUGGGUUUAAUUCGAAGC